rnacentral:lncRNA from 1 species
CUCCAUAUAAUAUCUGCGAAUACAAAUUCACCGACUUAUUUAAAAUAUUAAAGAAGGGUACAUUAGAAGUAGUAAAGUUCUGGCUUGGAGGAGGUGAUGAUGAUGUAGAGGCAAUUGAAGCUGCAGAGUAAUGAGUUUGUUGCUGACAGUAAGAAAAUAGGCCAUGUCCAAUGUAAUCAAGGCAUACAUGGUUUGAAAGGGAAAGGUGAUAAUAUUCUCGGGCACGAAUUUGAUCAGCUUGAUAAGUUUGCAAGUAUAGUGGGU